rnacentral:rRNA from 1 species
GCCUACAACCAAAUCACGUGGAAUGCGCCCGAAUCCUGUCAUAUCUCGGAAAGUUGAGCAGGCUUUAGCCUGGAUAGUAUUGGGAAUGGGUGACCACCCUGCAUAACACAGGUGUUAUAGGCU